AGAAAUGAGGGGUGCAUGGAGAGUGCUAAAGUGACUAGAUUUACAGUACUUGAACUUCUUCCGUACGCCAGUGAUAGACCCGUUUACUAACCCGAAUUUGCCACCAUGUCCACCGGAGUUCUCCCCGUCGAUUUACUCGAGGAGAUCUUCAGCAAGCUUCCAGUGAAGUCCCUAAUCUCCCUCACCAUCAUCUGCAAAUCCUGGCUCGCACUAAUCUCAUCACAAUCUUUUGCAAAAACCCAUCUUUUCAAGUACCCUCUUGACCCCUCUUCUCAUUUGCUUCUUCUCCACCGCCCCUGUCGCGAAACAAUCACCAUUUCCGAGCUCAAUUUCUCGGGAUUGCCAAGAAUUGUGGAAACCCCAAUUCCAGAAUCUGAACCCCCGCCGAUUCAAGCCCCGUCGACUCCGGUGGUCUCGAUCUGUUGUGCGAGAAAUGUUCAAGUUCGUCAAGAAGUUAGGAGCUGUUUGUUGAGAUUGGUGGGCUCGAUUAAUGGGUUGGUGUGUUUUUCUACGCCUACUCUUAGGCCUACUAAUGUUGUGAUUUGGAACCCUGCUACUCGGAGAUUUAGGGAUGUGGCGGUGUCGCAUUUGAAUUAUAGUAACCCUUUGAGGAUUUAUGUGGCUUUUGGGUAUGAUGGUGUUGGUGAUGAUUAUAAGGUGGUCUGUGUUUAUCGGUUUCGGGUUAGGAAUAAUCCGGAGAUGUCGUUUAGGUUUAGGAUGUUUUCGUGUAGGGAUGGUUGUUGGAAGGAUGUAGAGCCGGGGUUCGGGUUUAGUUUGGGGUUUAUAGUGGGGUGUGUGAUCGUAAAGGGGAAUCCUUUUUGGAUGGGGUUUUACAAGGAUAAAGAGAUUUGGCUGACGCUUGAUGUUCAAACUGAGGUGAUCCGGAUGUUUUCUGGGCCGAAGUAUGUAAGGGGUGCAUCUACUUCGAUCUCAAUUAUGGCUUUAGGUGAUAAUGCUGCUCAGAUUGUGUAUUCACCCGGAAUUGAAUCAAGUCAUAUGAUUCAUGUGUAUUGUUUGGAAGAAAGUAGUGGUACGUGGAAUUUGAUGUACGCCAUAGAGUCGAUUGGGUUACAGAGGCCUGUACACAUGGAAUGCUAUAAGAAUGGCAAGGUUGUUACAAAGGAUAGGAACGGCAAGUUGUUCACGUAUGACUUGAUAAGUAAAGAAAUUAAGGAUCUUGGGGUUGGAGAAGGCAUGGAGGAUCAUUACAUCGCCAUUAAUUACAUCGAAAGUCUUGUUUCCAUCGAAAGUAUGGAGAAAGUAAGAGAAGAAGCUGCUGAAGAAGCAGGGCAGGAGACUGGACUUGCUUCAAAUGAUAGGUAUCCCGACUUCUCUUAGGAUGCUUCGGAUGCUAUGAUGUCAGUAAGGAUAGAUGAAUCUCUUAAAGAUGUAUGAGAAUCAAGGUUACUGUUGCGGGUUGUUGGCUUUCAAUUGAACUGAAGAAGUAUACAAGCAUGGAGGGACUGAAAUGCUGUUUCAUGUACAAUAGACUAUUGUUGUAUAAUCUUGAAAAAAUUGUAUUAUGUAUUACUAGCUGUUUUCUGUAUCAGAGACCUCAGCAAGUCUGUUGUGUUUCUAUUUUUUUUGACUUUAAAAUACAAAUUGUGUUGUCUGAUACUAUCUGAGCUUGAUCUUGAUUUAUGUUUACUUGGUUCUGGUUGGGUUCGAAACA